rnacentral:lncRNA from 1 species
AUAAUGGCCCCCACACAAGGUGUAGACAAAGAUUCUGAACACACAAGCCUGAGCACCGGAGUGUAAUGGGGGCAUUAUUUCCUUUGGGUAAGAUUAAUUUUUCUUGCAUGAAAACACCCAGUGCUUUUUGUUUUUCAAUUCGACAUUUCUAGUGGAAAUAAUUUAUGGUAAUACAGGCAGAUAGCACAGAGCAUGUAAGGAACUGAAAUAAAUUUGAGUCUCAAAUGAGAAAGGUUGGAGUGUUGACAACAGCAAGAUGGUUCUUAGGAAAUGGAGCAGUUCUCAUUAUUUUUCCUCACUGAUCAAGAGACUUGGCUGAAAGGGAUGGUUAAGUGGCUAAAGUUUUUGUUUUUACUUUUUUCUUCUCCAGUGAGACAAUUGCUGCCAAGGUCAAUUAGUUUUCCCAAAUCCACAGAUAAAAUUCAAUGUAGUUUACAGCAUAAAGUAUUGUUAGAGCAAGUGUCAAACACAAGUUUAUCUGUCAGCUCGAUAAGAGCAUUAAAAAGAGGCCAUAACAAUAUUGUCUUUUGGCUUUAGUUUCAAUUCUCUUUUUUCCUUUCCUGGAUUUGAAGUCACUUGAAAUUAAAAUAAAGAAUUUGAAACAUUUUUGCACACUACAUAUUUGAGAUACAUGUUAUUAAUAAGGUAUGAACUCUAGGCAGCUGAGCUAAAAUAGUUUUGCUAGAAACAAAUCAUGACAUUCAAGUUAAAAUUUCACCUAUAUAAUAAAUCUGUAUUCCUCCACAAGAGAGAUUAUAUUCAACCUCUAAAAAUGAUUGAUUUAAUGAAUGAGAACAAUUGAAAAUUUCAAUUCUAAAAUUAUAUUUAAUAUAUAAUUCAAUGUUUCUUCCAACCAAGAGAUUUAAUUUCAAAGAGAGGGAAAAACCAUUUUGUAGACUUUUCUGAUUGUUCAUAUUUUGACUUAAGCAGGAGCUGGUAACGAUAGUGGCUAAGAUUAGUCACAUACGCCAUAGGUAUCUUUAGCCCAAAAGAAGCAACCACUAGUUGAUCAUGGGACAUUUAAUCCUGUUNNNNNUAGAUCCACCCACAGAAUCUACUUUAGCCCAGAACUCAAGUCAGUCGCAAAAAUUCAUCUUUUAGCAUCUAUUACCAUUACCUGCCUUUGCCAAAAUAAUCCUCAAAUUGGAGAAGAAGCAAAUAUAAAUGGUCACUACAACAGUGUUCAAGUUGUCAUAAUUCUGAACAAAACAACAAAAUAAACUUGAACACCACAUAUUCCCUCAUGCCAGUUUUGAGUAUCUCAUUUUAUGAAGAUCAUUGUCCAAAUGCUUCCCAUGAUUAAGGAUACAGUAUCAGUGCCCUGUUAAGAUGGGGCAAUGUGACUCUGCGAUGUUUU